CAGGACGGGUGCGCAGAGUGUCCAUGAAGUUACUCAUAGAAUUCAGUUCCCUCCAGAGACGACCAAGCUGCAGGAACUGUGGGUCACUAAAAAGAAGCUCCUGGGCAUCUGAGUAGAACCGAGCCAAUCUGAGGAGCGAGAUCAAAUGUUUCAUAGGAAUUCAACAUCUCUACCAGCGCGGGGUGAUACUCACAUGGAGUUGUUGUAGUUGGAUACAAGGCCAGGAGAUUCACCACGGGUGGGGUACUGAAAACAAGGGUUGUUGGCAUUACAGAAGAUUCCCUGGAUCCAUGGUAGGACCCCUGUGGAGGGCAUGGCCUUGUUGGGGAAGUGGCCUGAGCGAGAGAAGACACUGUUGGCUGUCAGCACUUAACACAACUCAUUUAUCAACAUGUAUGAACAGGAUGCCAUGCACCACAGGAGGAAAAAGUUGUUUGCUUACAUUCAUGUUGGCGGUAGAGUGGAUUCACCCUCCUGAGCCACACCAGUCCCAUGAACAGCAUCACAGGCCACAUGAUCUCCAUAAAGAACCGCACCUGGAUGAAGAGCACAACGUGAACUUGCGAGUGAAACAUUUAUUGAUGUUAACCAAAGUGUUUUCUGUAUGAGAAGAGGCACAGAAAUAUGAACUUCUGGACCAUUUCAUACAGUAAAGUGGUUCAAUCAGCCAGUCA